AGUGAACGCUGGCGGUAGGCCUAACACAUGCAAGUCGAACGGCAGCACAGUAAGAGCUUGCUCUUACGGGUGGCGAGUGGCGGACGGGUGAGGAAUACAUCGGAAUCUACUUUUUCGUGGGGGAUAACGUAGGGAAACUUACGCUAAUACCGCAUACGACCUACGGGUGAAAGCAGGGGAUCUUCGGACCUUGCGCGAUUGAAUGAGCCGAUGUCGGAUUAGCUAGUUGGCGGGGUAAAGGCCCACCAAGGCGACGAUCCGUAGCUGGUCUGAGAGGAUGAUCAGCCACACUGAAACUGAGACACGGUCCAGACUCCUACGGGAGGCAGCAGUGGGGAAUAUUGGACAAUGGGCGCAAGCCUGAUCCAGCCAUACCGGGUGGGUGAAGAAGGCCUUCGGGUUGUAAAGCCCUUUUGUGGGGAAAGAAAAGCAGCAGGUUAAUACCCCGCUGUUCUGACGGUACCCAAAGAAUAAGCACCGGCUAACUUCGU
rnacentral:rRNA from 1 species